ACUUUUGAAAGAUAAUAGUAAUCUAUUGGUCUUAGGAACCAAAAAUUCUUGGUGCAACUCCUAGCAAAAGUU
rnacentral:tRNA from 1 species